CUUCCCAUUUAUUUGCUGCUGUAGUCUUUCAGUGAUACGAGCAGUUAUACGCGUGGGAUAAAGGAACGCUGGACCACUGUAAAUUGAGAUGAAGUUGCCAUUUCAUCUCGCCUGCAUGGUCUAGACAGUG